GACUGGACCUAGAACCCUUAGUAUAUCAUUGAUACCACAUGGAGAAAUCAUGCUGAGGGGACCAUAGUAUCUGACCCAAAAUGCCUUGUACAUCACUGACACCAUAUGGAAUUUCAGGACCAAUGUAUGCUUGGGAGACAAUAGGUGGAGAGCCGCGAGUGCUCCAAAGUGGAAGUAGAAAAAAAGGCCAGAGCCUAUUCACAACCAGGUUAAAUACCCCAUCUCGCUCUCGGCGCAGGGACAAGGGAAUAGCACAAGUGGACUCAAGGUUGAUGCACAUUAGGAGGUCUGAGGACAAGCCCAGAGUCAAAGGGAUGCUGUCUCUGACAGUUCAAAGCAAAGAGGGAUCAACAAAUAAGUGA
rnacentral:lncRNA from 1 species